rnacentral:rRNA from 1 species
GAUGAACGCUGGCGGCGUGCUUAACACAUGCAAGUCGAACGAUGAAGCCCAGCUUGCUGGGUGGAUUAGUGGCGAACGGGUGAGUAACACGUGAGUAACCUGCCCUUAACUCUGGGAUAAGCCUGGGAAACUGGGUCUAAUACCGGAUAGGAGCGUCCACCGCAUGGUGGGUGUUGUAAUGAUUUAUCGGUUUUGGAUGGACUCGCGGCCUAUCAGCUUGUUGGUGAGGUAAUGGCUCACCAAGGCGACGACGGGUAGCCGGCCUGUGAGGGUGACCGGCCACACUGGGACUGAGACACGGCCCAGACUCCUACGGGAGGCAGCAGUGGGGAAUAUUGCACAAUGGGCGCAAGCCUGAUGCAGCGACGCCGCGUGAGGGAUGACGGCCUUCGGGUUGUAAACCUCUUUCAGUAGGGAAGAAGCGAAAGUGACGGUACCUGCAGAAGAAGCACCGGCUAACUACGUG